CACGUAUUUAGCCGGGGCUUCCUCCUAUGAUACCGUCAUUAUCUUCUCAUAGGACAGAGCUUUACGAUUCGAAAACCUUCUUCGCUCACGCGGCGUCGCUGCAUCAGGGUUCCCCCCAUUGUGCAAUAUUCCCCACUGCUGCCUCCCGUAGGAGUUUGGACCGUGUCUCAGUUCCAAUGUGGCCGUUCAUCCUCUCAGACCGGCUACUGAUCGUCGCCUUGGUAGGCCUUUACCCUUCCAACUAGCUAAUCAGACGCGAGCCCUUCUUACACCGAUAAAUCUUUGACCCCUAUAUCAUGCGAUUCUGUGGUCUCAUGCGGUAUUAAUCGUCGUUUCCAACGGCUAUCCCCCUGUGUAAGGUAGGUUGCUCACGUGUUACUCACCCGUUCGCCACUUUCAUUUCAUUUCCAUUCCCGAAAGAAUUUCCACAAAAAUCACGUUCGACUUGCAUGUGUUAAGCACGCCGCCAGCGUCGUCCUCGUAGCCACGGAGUCAAACUACUA
rnacentral:rRNA from 1 species